rnacentral:tRNA from 1 species
GGGAAGAUGGCUUAAUGGUAGAGUGCUUGCUUUGCAUGCAUGAGGCCCUGGGUUCGAUUCCUCAGUACCA